rnacentral:tRNA from 1 species
GCCACGGUCGUCUAGCUGUUAGAACGCUGGCCUUGUAAUCCUGGGGUCUCGGGUUCGAUUCCCGGCGGUGCCC